UGUGGCAAAUGAAGUCUGAUGAUAUUCUCUUUCCUCUAUUUGUCAUGUCUUUUUCACAGCUCCUGCACCUAUUUUCCACGCAGCUGGAACUCACAGAGGGCAAAUCUAAAUGCUUCCAGAGUCAGGUUCCCUACAGCUAAAAUGGGAGAAAUUCAGUCCACAAACGUAUGUGUGUGUAUGUGUGUGUAUGUGUGUGUGUGUGUGUGUGUGUGUGUGUGUGUGCAUGUACCCCACAGGUGCGGAUUCCCACAACCCCGGAAGGAAAAGAAUCAAGGCAGCAAAAUAGGAAUCCCUUGUAGCAUAUGAAUGAGCACAGAGUGCUUGAAUGAGGACGGUGGAUGGGAUGGAGGGCGUGUGUGUAUGUGUGUGUGUGUCACCAGCAGGGAUAAUAAGGAACCCAGGGGGACAGCAGCCUGCAGCGGGGCACAGGUGCAACAUUCUACAGAAACAUCACAUGCAGGAACUGUCGCAGGCAAAACUGGUCCUACAGCAGAUCAGCUAUUUUUGAUCGAUUAUGACAGAGAGAGAAACUGAAUCUGUGGAACUCGCCCGAGAAUGUUUUUAUUAACUAAAUUAAUGCAUCUUUGUUGGUCCCUACUGUACUAUCUACUGCUCAAGAUUCAAGAUCCUUUUAUUGUCAGUCAGCAAAACAUCAGUGAU